GAUCAUGGCUCAGGAUGAACGCUGGCGGCGUGCUUAACACAUGCAAGUCGAGCGAAGCACUUAAGUUUGAUUCUUCGGAUGAAGACUUUUGUGACUGAGCGGCGGACGGGUGAGUAACGCGUGGGUAACCUGCCUCAUACAGGGGGAUAACAGUUAGAAAUGGCUGCUAAUACCGCAUAAGACCACGGUACUGCAUGGUGCAGUGGUAAAAACUCCGGUGGUAUGAGAUGGACCCGCG
rnacentral:rRNA from 1 species